GAGUGCCUGGAUUUUCGUAAUGGAAAAAGGGUGUCAUUCGUUGCGUUGUUUGGAAUGGACGAAAGAUGAAGGUUUUAGUUCCAGAGGAAAAAUCUUUCAAAAAAAGUUCCAGAGGAAAGGAAGACAAGCAGUCCGUUGGGAACAAAGGAAUCGAAGACAAACCUUCCAGAGAAACAGCGAGGAAGCCUAUACUUUUGGAGGAAAGAAAAAUACACACCGAGUUUAUCUUCAAACGAGGAAACUUCGUUCGAGCAACAGAAGGAAAUAAAGAAAAAGCCCAAUCAAAAUGGAAUCGAGUUUCACCUAUCGGCCGGUGGGCUUGUAUAGUUUUCCUGUCUUAGCGUAGUUAGCAGCUAGGGUUAGGGUUAGGGUGGAGUGGCGCCUCGGCGUUGUGCGCUGCUUCUUUUGCUGCUCUGGAGCACUGGUGGAGUUGAAGGCCACGGUGGAGCUGGCAGGUGCGUCGGCGACACUUGCUUCUUCCUCUUCGCUAGCGGUCCAUGGAGCUUUUGGUGUCUCCGCUGUUUCUUCUCCGGCUCCGGCGAUGACAGCGUGAGUUUGUAUCUCCUGGUCUUUUGUGAAAGGGUGGGAGCUCCGGUCACCCCUCUGGGUGUGCAGCUUGUCCCCGUUGCUGGGUUCCUUGGCGGCGGUGGACUUUUCUUCCGGUCGCCGGUCCUCUGGCUGGCGACGGCGGAUUUCUUCUUCCUUCCCCUUUCUGUCAAGGUGACGGCCGAUACUCGUUCAUUGGAUUUGAUUCGCUUGGCGGAGUUCUGGGCGAUGUCUCUUGCUGCGCUUCCAAGGCUUGGAGUCUCUUGCCGGGAGGGGGGUGGAUCUGGACUGAUGCGGUGGUGGCGAUGGCGAACUGGAGACCGGAGAUGAGGAAGAUGACGAUGCAUCCUGAGGACUCAUUUGUAAUUUUUUUUCUUUGGGGUCAGUUUGUAAAAGGUGGGUGUACUGUGCUGAUGUUUAUCUUUAAUAUAUCUUCCCUUUCGCAAAAAAAAAAAGAGCUUAACAAAUCUUUUGAGCACCUCCAAGAAUCUAACUCCAAAUUUACAAAAAAAAACGAAGAUAGAAAAAACUCUGCAGAGAGAACUCUCUUUCUCGUGGCUUGGGGAGUAGAGCUUUGGUUAGCGAAGAAGAGCGGAUUUAGGGGUGCUUGAAAAAAGUGGAGGGCUCACCACCUGAUGCAGAGCUGCUAGCCUCCGGCUGUGCUGCGAUGAUCCUUGGCGUCAUGGCGCCUGAGCUUGGUUCAGGGAGGAAGAAGGAUGACAGCAAUGUGUGGAUAAGGUCGACGGGACUUCCGGCAUGCGGAUGGUAAAAUAAAUGUAGGACCCACAUGUAAGACCAGAGAUAUUCACCUGUUCUUCUGCAUGGUCAUGUCAAUUUCCAUCACUAAAAUCAAGUCAGCAUUUCUAUUGUCCUAGCAUUUUGUGAUUCCUGUGUUGUUCUUACGAUCCAAACAGUCUAAAUUUUACAUUUCUGUAUUUUGGAA